UGGAGAUGUCCAAUUCAAAGAGGGAGAAAAAUGAAUUGGGAAGGGUGAAGCAGUCACAUCCCUUGGAUUUUGAUGAAGGAGAAAGAAAACAUACUUCCAUUGUCUCCACAUGCUCUGCAACAAACAUCCAAGCAGACUACCUGAGAAAAUACAUUGCCAUAGUCUCCUGGGAGCAACGCCAGCACUACAAGGAUGACUUCAAUGCAGAGUAUGAGGAAUACAGGAAUUUACAUUUUCAGAUUGACAAGAUCAACAAGGAUUUCAUAUAGUUUCAUGAACAAUGGAAGUGUCUGAUUCCAGGCUCUGAAGCCUAUCAGAUACUGCUUCAUCGAAUCCUAACAGAUUAUCAGCAGUUACAACAGGGUAGCCCCAGCUACUCUGAAAUGAAGAGCAGGUGCCAGUACCUCCACAAAAAGCUGUCCCAUAUUCAGAGCCGAAUAUCUGAAUUUGACAAGCGAUAAGUGGAAUCCUGGCACCACACAUCUGCU